rnacentral:rRNA from 1 species
CCAUGCCGCGUGAGUGGAGAAGGCCUUCGGGUUGUAAAGCUCUUUCGGCCGGGAAGAAAUCGCAUGGGCUAAUACCCUGUGUGGAUGACGGUACCGGAAUAAGAAGCACCGGCUAACUACGUGCCAGCAGCCGCGGUAAUACGUAGGUGGCGAGCGUUUUCCGGAAUUACUGGGCGUAAAGGGCGCGUAGGCGGCCUGUUAAGUCAGAUGUAAAACCCCCAGGCUCAACUUGGGGGUUGCAUAUGAAACUGAUGGGCUCGAGUGUCGGAGAGGAAAGCGGAAUUCCUAGUGUAGCGGUGAAAUGCGUAGAUAUUAGGAGGAACACCAGUGGCGAAGGCGGCUUUCUGGGCGAUAACUGACGCUGAGGCGCGAAAGCGUGGGGAGCAAA